rnacentral:rRNA from 1 species
GACGAACGCUGGCGGCGUGCUUAACACAUGCAAGUCGAACGGAAAGGCCCUGCUUUUGUGGGGUGCUCGAGUGGCGAACGGGUGAGUAACACGUGAGUAACCUGCCCUUGACUUUGGGAUAACUUCAGGAAACUGGGGCUAAUACCGGAUAGGAGCUCCUGCUGCAUGGUGGGGGUUGGAAAGUUUCGGCGGUUGGGGAUGGACUCGCGGCUUAUCAGCUUGUUGGUGGGGUAGUGGCUUACCAAGGCUUUGACGGGUAGCCGGCCUGAGAGGGUGACCGGCCCCAUGGGGAUGGAGAUACGGCCGGGCGCCCUAGGGGAGGCGGCGGGGGGAAAUAUUGCAGAAGGGGGGGAAGCCGGAUGCGGCACGGCGGCGUGGGGGAGGGCGGCCUUGGGUUUAAAGACCGGUUUCGCCUGAGAGAAGGGGUAAGGGAGGGUAAGGGAUAAAAAAGCCCCGGCUAACUACGUG